UACGAAGGGGGCAAGCGUUGUUCGGAAUGACUGGGCGUAAAGGGCGCGUAGGCGGUUCGUUGCGUCAGAUGUGAAAGCCCCGGGCUCAACCUGGGAACUGCAUUUGAUACGGGCGGGCUUGAAUCCAAGAGAGGGUGGUGGAAUUCCCAGUGUAGAGGUGAAAUUCGUAGAUAUUGGGAAGAACACCAGUGGCGAAGGCGGCCACCUGGCUUGGUAUUGACGCUGAGGCGCGAAAGCGUGGGGAGCGAACAGG
rnacentral:rRNA from 1 species